UUCAGUGAUAACAUCAAACAAGAACACGUGAAAGUAGAAUAGUAUAAGAUUUUUCAUGAUUGAACAAAUUCUACUCAAGAUUCAUGAACAAAUUCUACUUCAAGAUAGGGAGAUGGGGAGAUGUUGAAAACAGUGGUUUUGCAUCAAACAACUUUCAAAGAUUCAAGUAACCAAGAGCCAAAAAUUAUUCAUGAUAAAAACAAAAGAUGAACACGGGAAACAAAACACUACCAAGGAAGAUCGCGAGAAAAGAAAACACAUACCAAGAAAGUGGAAGAAUUUGAUUUUGAUAACAUUUCUAAUUGAUUAUAUUGCAGGGACGGUGACCGGCCGCCGGAAACAGAGUUGAGAAAAAGUGAAGGAGGGAGUAAGAGAGAGAAAAAAAAAUGGAAAAUGAAGGAUCUGUGAAGAAAAAGUGUAUAUAUACCCAAUGUGAUCCAAUGUGCAAGUGUCCACGGCUGCGCACCGUAAGCUUUCCAUCAUCACCGCUUAUCUUCAUCAGACACAUAUAUCUUUCUUUCCCUGUUCAGAUCAGGAUCAUCUGAUCAAUCUGACGGAGAUGAGAAGAUGAAGCCACACCCAAGAUCAGGGAACAAGUAUCUCCAAUUUUUUCAUAAUCAAUUUUUAGACAAAUUAUACUAUUCAUUCAUGUAAUUGAUAACAGUUUCAAAAUAGCUAACAUUUACAUUAAAUAAAUCAUAUAUGGGACAAAUAUGCUAUUAAUUCAUAGUACUCAUACUGAUUAAAUAAAUCUAACU